CACCACUGGAGUGGGUUGUACCAGAAGCAGGUAGCCUAACCGCAAGGGGGGCGCCUACCACGGUGAGAUUCAUGACUGGGGUG
rnacentral:rRNA from 1 species